GGGUAGUUUUAGACAUUUAGCCAAAAAUAACAAAUAUCCCGAACCUGGGUGAUCUAUCCAUGACUAGGAUGAAGCUUGGGAGAAACUAAGUGGAGGUCCGAACCGACUGAUGUUGAAGAAUCAGCAGAUGAGUUGUGGUUGGAAGUGAAAUGCCACUCGAACUCAGAGCUAGUUGGUUCUCUUCAAAAUGCGUUGAGGCACAGUAGUUGACUAGACAUCUAAGGGUAAAGCAUUGUUUUGGUGCGGGUUGCGAGAGUGGUACCAAAAGUCGAGGCAAACUCUGAAUACUAUAUAUAACCUCAAAAUAAUAGGGGUCAAGGUCGGCCAGUUAGACGAUGAGGGAUAAGCUCCAUUGUCAAGAGGGAAACAACUCGAAUCACCAGCUAAGGCCCCUAAAUGAUUGCUCGGUGAUAAAGGAGGUAGGGGAUCAAACAAUCAAUUAAAAAAGAUCCUCUACUUCCAAUUAAGAAUUUAUUAGGUCCUUUAGGAACAACUCCCAAAAUUGCGAAUUUUUAUUCAUCAUUUUACCCUUUAAUAACUCAUAAUCAAACAUUGAUAGCGAAAGACAAUUUAAAAUAGGCUUUCAAGUACUUAACUAUUAUUUAUAGCUGAAAAUGGGAGAAUUUAUAAUUUUGAUCCAUGUCGUAACAACUUUUUGAAUGCAGUCAAUUUAAAUUGGUAUUUUCCC
rnacentral:ncRNA from 1 species